rnacentral:rRNA from 1 species
GACGAACGCUGGCGGCGUGCUUAACACAUGCAAGUCGAACGAAGAGCGAUGGAAGCUUGCUUCUAUCAAUCUUAGUGGCGAACGGGUGAGUAACGCGUAAUCAACCUGCCCUUCAGAGGGGGACAACAGUUGGAAACGACUGCUAAUGCCGCAUACGAUCUGACCUCGGCAUCGAGGAUAGAUGAAAGGUGGCCUCUAUUUAUAAGCUAUCACUGAAGGAGGGGAUUGCGUCUGAUUAGCUAGUUGGAGGGGUAACGGCCCACCAAGGCGAUGAUCAGUAGCCGGUCUGAGAGGAGGAACGGCCAAAUUGGGACUGAGACACGGCCCAGACUCCUACGGGAGGCAGCAGUGGGGAAUCUUCCGCAAUGGACGAAAGUCUGACGGAGCAACGCCGCGUGAGUGAUGACGGCCUUCGGGUUGUAAAGCUCUGUUAAUCGGGACGAAAGGCCUUCUUGCGAAUAGUUAGAAGGAUUGACGGUACCGGAAUAGAAAGCCACGGCUAACUACGUG